UCUCCGCGAAGCCCCAGCUGCCCCGCGUCGGGGGGGGGGGGGGGGGGACGCCGAGGUCCCCAGGAGGCCGGUCACAAAGCCCGGUUCUGCCGGAGCGCGAGAGCAGCAGACACUGGCUGCCCCGGGCCCGCGGUGCGCCCAGCGCGGCGGGGGCGGCUCCACUCCGCCGGCCCGAGUUCGCUGGGGGACAACUUACUGUGCUCGCUGUGCGUCCACACUGCAAACUCCCAAGCGGGAGGGGGAGAAACAGCCAAGGCUGUGUCGUGUCCGAGAGUAGAGGCAACAAAAGAGGAAAGGGGAGAGGGAGGAAAGGAGGGAGGGCGGGCGGGCUGGAGACGCGGGCACUGCCCCCUCUCUCACCCAGAGCGCCCCUCGGAUGCUGAUGGGGAGACCCUCCAGGAGAGACGGCCCUUUCUUGGGGCCCCCGCCGGCCCGCUGCUCAGACAGGUAGUUGGAGGGAAAAGAACAAAGCUCCCAGUGCAGGCGGGCGGCGGUCCCGGGGCGCCCCGGGGGCGGGGAAGGCAGAGGCCGAGGCGCCGCGCGCCCCGUGCUCCCCGCCGGCGCCCCCCGCCUCCCACCGCGUGCCCGGGGCCCCUCGCUGGCCCCCCAUCCGCCUCCCCUCGCGCCUCCGGGUCCUCCGGGAAGCGCUUCCCCCGAAGGCACCGGCGGCCGGCUGCGGAGGAAGUGGGGGGAGCGCAGGGAGGGCGGCGCGGCGAAGGGGGGGGGGGCAGCGCCGGGGAGGAGGCGGGGGGCGGGGCGGGGGGCGGGUGCGCCCCCGAGCAGCGGAGUCGGGCCGGGUACCGACUGCCAUCCUGCCGCAAUUUCCCUGUGUCAUGGCUCCGGUCUCUUAGCAACAGCCGCCAGUCCGGCCGCCCCGAGCAGCGCCAGCCGCCGCCGCCGCCGCCGCCGCCGCCGCGGGCUCAACUCCACCCGGCGGAGCCCGGCGCGCCGCAGCCACACAAAAGAGGCGCUGGGGCCGGCCCGGGAGCGCCGCGGCGGGGCUCGCCGAGAGGCGCAGGAGGAGCGGCGGCGGGGAGCACGGCUCCGAGGCAGGAUGCGGGCUGCGGAGGACCUGACACUUCUUGGAAACUCUUGGAAAUGGCUCCCGCCACGGCAGCGGGGGGAGCUGCGAACCUGGGGCGGGCGCUCGCCCCCGCUGGGCUGCUGAGCCGCGCUCGGCUGGAGGGCCCCGAGGCGCUGUCCCUGCGCCCCGCCGUCGGCUCGGGCUGA
rnacentral:lncRNA from 1 species